rnacentral:rRNA from 1 species
AACGAACGCUGGCGGCAGGCCUAACACAUGCAAGUCGAACGCCCCGCAAGGGGAGUGGCAGACGGGUGAGUAACACGUGGGAACGUACCCUUCGGUUCGGGAUAACUCAGGGAAACUUGAGCUAAUACCGGAUACGUCCGAGAGGAGAAAGAUUUAUCGCCGAGGGAUCGGCCCGCGUCUGAUUAGCUUGUUGGUGAGGUAACGGCUCACCAAGGCGACGAUCAGUAGCUGGUCUGAGAGGAUGAUCAGCCACAUUGGGACUGAGACACGGCCCAGACUCCUACGGGAGGCAGCAGUGGGGAAUAUUGGACAAUGGGGGAAACCCUGAUCCAGCAAUGCCGCGUGAGUGAUGAAGGCCUUAGGGUUGUAAAGCUCUUUCGGUGGGACGAUGAUGACGGUACCGCAGAAGAAGCCCCGGCUAACUUCGUGCCAGCCGCCGCCGUAAC